UAGGGAAUCUUCGGCAAUGGACGGAAGUCUGACCGAGCAACGCCGCGUGAGUGAAGAAGGUUUUCGGAUCGUAAAGCUCUGUUGUUAGAGAAGAACGUUGGUAGGAGUGGAAAAUCUACCAAGUGACGGUAACUAACCAGAAAGGGACGGCUAACUACGUGCCAGCAGCCGAGGUUAUACGUAGGUCCCGAGCGUUGUCCGGAGUUAUUGGGCGUAAAGCGAGCGCAGGCGGUUCUUUAAGUCUGAAGUUAAAGGCAGUGGCUUAACCAUUGUACGAUUUGGAAACUGGAGGACUUGAGUGCAGAAGGGGGGAGUGGAAUUCCAUGUGUAGCGGUGAAAUGCGUUGAUAUAUGGAGGAACACCGGUGGCGAAAGCGACUCUCUGGUCUAUAACUGACGCUGAGGCUCAAAAGCGUGGGGAGCAAACAGG
rnacentral:rRNA from 1 species